CAGUACCGUGAGGGAAAGGCGAAAAGAACCCCGGCGAGGGGAGUGAAAAAGAACCUGAAACCGUGUACGUACAAGCAGUGGGAGCACGCUUAGGCGUGUGACUGCGUACCUUUUGUAUAAUGGGUCAGCGACUUAUAUUCUGUAGCAAGGUUAACCGAAUAGGGGAGCCGAAGGGAAACCGAGUCUUAACUGGGCGUUAAGUUGCAGGGUAUAGACCCGAAACCCGGUGAUCUAGCCAUGGGCAGGUUGAAGGUUGGGUAACACUAACUGGAGGACCGAACCGACUAAUGUUGAAAAAUUAGCGGAUGACUUGUGGCUGGGGGUGAAAGGCCAAUCAAACCGGGAGAUAGCUGGUUCUCCCCGAAAGCUAUUUAGGUAGCGCCUCGUGAACUCAUCUCCGGGGGUAGAGCACUGUUUCGGCAAGGGGGUCAUCCCGACUUACCAACCCGAUGCAAACUGCGAAUACCGGAGAAUGUUAUCACGGGAGACACACGGCGGGUGCUAACGUCCGUCGUGAAGAGGGAAACAACCCAGACCGCCAGCUAAGGUCCCAAAGUCAUGGUUAAGUGGGAAACGAUGUGGGAAGGCCCAGACAGCCAGGAUGUUGGCUUAGAAGCAGCCAUCAUUUAAAGAAAGCGUAAUAGCUCACUGGUCGAGUCGGCCUGCGCGGAAGAUGUAACGGGGCUAAACCAUGCACCGAAGCUGCGGCAGCGACGCUUAUGCGUUGUUGGGUAGGGGAGCGUUCUGUAAGCCUGCGAAGGUGUGCUGUGAGGCAUGCUGGAGGUAUCAGAAGUGCGAAUGCUGACAUAAGUAACGAUAAAGCGGGUGAAAAGCCCGCUCGCCGGAAGACCAAGGGUUCCUGUCCAACGUUAAUCGGGGCAGGGUGAGUCGACCCCUAAGGCGAGGCCGAAAGGCGUAGUCGAUGGGAAACAGGUUAAUAUUCCUGUACUUGGUGUUACUGCGAAGGGGGGACGGAGAAGGCUAUGUUGGCCGGGCGACGGUUGUCCCGGUUUAAGCGUGUAGGCUGGUUUUCCAGGCAAAUCCGGAAAAUCAAGGCUGAGGCGUGAUGACGAGGCACUACGGUGCUGAAGCAACAAAUGCCCUGCUUCCAGGAAAAGCCUCUAAGCAUCAGGUAACAUCAAAUCGUACCCCAAACCGACACAGGUGGUCAGGUAGAGAAUACCAAGGCGCUUGAGAGAACUCGGGUGAAGGAACUAGGCAAAAUGGUGCCGUAACUUCGGGAGAAGGCACGCUGAUAUGUAGGUGAAGUCCCUCGCGGAUGGAGCUGAAAUCAGUCGAAGAUACCAGCUGGCUGCAACUGUUUAUUAAAAACACAGCACUGUGCAAACACGAAAGUGGACGUAUACGGUGUGACGCCUGCCCGGUGCCGGAAGGUUAAUUGAUGGGGUUAGCGCAAGCGAAGCUCUUGAUCGAAGCCCCGGUAAACGGCGGCCGUAACUAUAACGGUCCUAAGGUAGCGAAAUUCCUUGUCGGGUAAGUUCCGACCUGCACGAAUGGCGUAAUGAUGGCCAGGCUGUCUCCACCCGAGACUCAGUGAAAUUGAACUCGCUGUGAAGAUGCAGUGUACCCGCGGCAAGACGGAAAGACCCCGUGAACCUUUACUAUAGCUUGACACUGAACAUUGAGCCUUGAUGUGUAGGAUAGGUGGGAGGCUUUGAAGUGUGGACGCCAGUCUGCAUGGAGCCGACCUUGAAAUACCACCCUUUAAUGUUUGAUGUUCUAACGUUGACCCGUAAUCCGGGUUGCGGACAGUGUCUGGUGGGUAGUUUGACUGGGGCGGUCUCCUCCUAAAGAGUAACGGAGGAGCACGAAGGUUGGCUAAUCCUGGUCGGACAUCAGGAGGUUAGUGCAAUGGCAUAAGCCAGCUUGACUGCGAGCGUGACGGCGCGAGCAGGUGCGAAAGCAGGUCAUAGUGAUCCGGUGGUUCUGAAUGGAAGGGCCAUCGCUCAACGGAUAAAAGGUACUCCGG
rnacentral:rRNA from 1 species